UACGGAGGGUGCGAGCGUUGUCCGGAAUCAUUGGGCGUAAAGGGCGCGUAGGUGGCCCGGUCAGUCCGUGGUGAAAGCGCGGGGCUCAACCCCGCGUCGGCCAUGGAUACUGCUGGGCUGGAGCACUGUAGAGGCAGGCGGAAUUCCGGGUGUAGCGGUGAAAUGCGUAGAUAUCGGGAAGAACACCCGUGGCGAAGGCGGUUCUCUGGGACGGUACUGACGCUGAGACGCGAAAGCGUGGGGAGCGAACAGG
rnacentral:rRNA from 1 species